rnacentral:rRNA from 1 species
AUGGUUCUUUAUAACAUAUACGAUGACUGGUUGAAAAGUAUCUCGUCCUACACUGCAUUCUCUCAUCUUGUGCUUAUACUACGAGCAUUACAUGUUAAUAAUGAGAAGGCCAAGAUGUUGCUGAAGCCUGACAAGACAAUGAAUAUCAUUCUUUCAGAUUAUGCAAAGAAAAACAAUGUUAAUACUGCUCCACCGUCACAGCAGAGGCAACAGAUAGCGGAGAUUGAGAAACAGGAUUUGACAUCACAUGCUAAAAUUUUGGAGAGAAGAACAAACAGUGGGAUGGUGACAAGUGCAUCAUUUUGA